rnacentral:rRNA from 1 species
CUAAUGUGGGUCAAGCGGCGGCGGUAAGCCGGAGGGGGCGAGCGUUGCUGGGGGUUAUUGGGCGUAAAGAGGUCGGAGGGGGUGCGGUAAGGCGGGUGUGAAACCGCCAGGCGCAACCUGGGGACGCCACCCGAUAAUGCAGUGACUAGAGUCCAGUAGGGGAGCGUGGAAUUCCUGGUGUAGCGGUGAAAUGCGCAGAUAUCAGGAGGAACACCAGCGGCGAAGGCGGCGCUCUGGGCUGGCACUGACACUGAGGAGCGAAAGCGUGGGGAGCGAACAGGAUUAGAUACCCUAGUAGUC